AUUGAACGCUGGCGGCAGGCCUAACACAUGCAAGUCGAGCGGAUGAAGAGAGCUUGCUCUCUGAUUUAGCGGCGGACGGGUGGGUAAUGCCUAGGAAUCUGCCUGGUAGUGGGGGAUAACGUUCCGAAAGGAACGCUAAUACCGCAUACGUCCUACGGGAGAAAGCAGGGGACCUUCGGGCCUUGCGCUAUCAGAUGAGCCUAGGUCGGAUUAGCUAGUUGGUGAGGUAAUGGCUCACCAAGGCGACGAUCCGUAACUGGUCUGAGAGGAUGAUCAGUCACACUGGACCUGAGACACGGUCCAGGCUCCUACGGGAGGCAGCAGUGGGGAAUAUUGGACAAUGGGCGAAAGCCUGAUCCAGCCAUGCCGCGUGUGUGAAGAAGGUCUUCGGAUUGUAAAGCACUUUAAGUUGGGAGGAAGGGCAUUAACCUAAUACGUUAGUGUUUUGACGUUACCAACAGAAUAAGCACCGGCUAACUUCGUGCCAGCCGCCGCGGUAACAC
rnacentral:rRNA from 1 species